rnacentral:miRNA from 1 species
AACCUAGUGCCGGUGAUGUGCU